rnacentral:rRNA from 1 species
AACGAACGCUGGCGGCGGGCUUAACACAUGCAAGUCGACCGGGCCUUCCGGGUUUAUGGGGGAUGGGCGAGUUACGGGUGGGGAAGUGACCCUUCUCUGCGGAAUCCCUUCGGGAAAUGGAAAUUAAUCCGGCAUAGGCCCUUGGGGGAAAAGAUUUAUCGGGGAAGGAUCGGCCCGGGUUGGAUUAGGUAGUUGGUGGGGUACUGGCCCACCAAGCCGACGAUCCAUAGCUGGUUUGAGAGGAUGAUCAGCCACACUGGGACUGAGACACGGCCCAGACUCCUACGGGAGGCAGCAGUGGGGAAUCUUAGACAAUGGGGGCAACCCUGAUCUAGCCAUGCCGCGUGAGUGAUGAAGGCCUUAGGGUUGUAAAGCUCUUUCAGCUGGGAAGAUAAUGACGGUACCAGCAGAAGAAGCCCCGGCUAACUCCGUG